rnacentral:rRNA from 1 species
GAUGAACGCUGGCGGCGUGCCUAACACAUGCAAGUCGAGCGGCAGCGAGGGGUGCUUGCACCCUGUCGGCGAGCGGCGGACGGCUGAGUAACGCGUGGGAACGUGCCCCAAAGUGAGGAAUAACUGCCCGAAAGGGUAGCUAAUACCGCAUAUUAUCUUCGGAUCAAAGGAUUUAUCCGCUUUGGGAGCGGCUCGCGUCGGAUUAGGUAGUUGGUGAGGUAAUGGCUCACCAAGCCGACGAUCCGUAGCUGGUCUGAGAGGAUGACCAGCCAGACUGGAACUGAGACACGGUCCAGACUCCUACGGGAGGCAGCAGUGAGGAAUCUUCCACAAUGGGCGAAAGCCUGAUGGAGCAACGCCGCGUGCAGGACGAAGGCCUUCGGGUUGUAAACUGCUUUUAUAAGUGAGGAAUAUGACGGUAACUUAUGAAUAAGGAUCGGCUAACUACG